rnacentral:rRNA from 1 species
CGUAGGGGGCAAGCGUUGUCCGGAUUUAUUGGGCGUAAAGCGCUCGCAGGUGGUCCGAUGCGUCGUGCGUGAAAGCCCCCGGCUCAACUGGGGAGUGUCGUGCGAUACGGUCGGACUGGAGGCCAGUAGGGGGAUGCGGAAUUCCGGGUGUAGUGGUGGAAUGCGUAGAGAUCCGGAGGAACACCAGCGGCGAAGGCGGCAUCCUGGACUGGUCCUGACACUCAGGAGCGAAAGCGUGGGGAGCGAUCCGGAUUAGAUACCCGGGUAGUCCACGCCGUAAACGAUGAGUACUAGGUGUCGGGGGUAUCGACCCCCUCGGUGCCGCAGCUAACGCGAUAAGUACUCCGCCUGGGGACUACGGCCGCAAGGCUA